AUACGGAGGGUGCAAGCGUUAAUCGGAAUUACUGGGCGUAAAGCGCUCGUAGGCGGCUUGUUAAGUCGGAUGUGAAAGCCCCGGGCUCAACCUGGGAACUGCAUUCGAUACUGGCAGGCUAGAGUAUAGUAGAGGCAAGUGGAAUUCCGGGUGUAGCGGUGAAAUGCGUAGAUAUCCGGAGGAACAUCAGUGGCGAAGGCGACUUGCUGGACUAAUACUGACGCUGAGGAGCGAAAGCGUGGGUAGCAAACAGGAUUAGAAACCCCAGUAGUCC
rnacentral:rRNA from 1 species